AGGUCCUCAAUAAGUAUUUGUUGAAAGAAUAAAUGAACCAACAAGUCUUAUUUGAGCACCUGUUAUG
rfam:Equus caballus chromosome X, whole genome shotgun sequence.